rnacentral:rRNA from 1 species
CCCUUAGAUGUCCUGGGCCGCACGCGCGCUACAAUGACUUAUUCAGAAAGUUUUACCUGGUUCGGAAGAAUUCAGGGUAAUCUUUGUAAUACAAGUCGUGUUAGGGAUCGAUCUUUGCAAUUAUAGAUCUUGAACGAGGAAUUCCCAGUAAGCGCGAGUCAUCAGCUCGCGUUGAUUACGUCCCUGCCCUUUGUACACACCGCCCGUCGCUACUACCGAUUGGAUGGUUUAGUGAGACCCUCGGAUCGGUCCCGACUCGGGGUGGGCUUCUGCCCCGGUCGUGGUUUCGCCGAGAAGACGGUCAAACUUGACUAUCUAGAGGAAGUAAAAGUCGUAACA